rnacentral:lncRNA from 10 species
CAGAAACACAUCAUAAGCAGCACAUGCCUCAAUUAAAUCAUUGGCAAGAUUAGAAAGACAGCCUAGAAGUAACUUUGGGCACACACAGAGUAUUUCACAAAUGUUAUUUGAAUUGAAAAAUGGAUCUUCAAACAAGACAGAAAAGAUCCAUCUAAACUUUUACUUCAUUGGAGGGUCCUUCCUGACCCAUGCAACUCAACAAAAAACUCUCACAGUUUUUAUAUGCUUUGUUGGGGAUUAACCCAUCUUGCAUUGCAUUGCUAGCUUAGUAUGUCUAGCAUGGGCAUGCCUGCUGAAGUUUGGAACUUCCCAUCAAGGAAACAGGAAAAUGCCAUUGGCAAUGAGCUGAAGACUGAUUUACUCUACCAGUUUGGAACAUCUGUUAUUGCUGCUACUACGGUUUCUAUCACUGUUUGAUGCUGGGACUCUUAAGCUCCAACCACGUUUUCACCGAGCUGAGUCGCCUUCUUAUCACCCCUUUCUGGAGCAGCAGGACAUCUGGGGAUGAGAAGAUGGAGAGAUCAUCCUUAUAUAAUGUUGCAGUCUGGAAGCAUCACUCUCAAAAAGCCAUUGUAGAGAAUCCAAGCCGAGUUUAAGAGUGCUGUGGAAAUACACUGCUGCUACUGCUGUUUCUAUUACUGUUUGAUGCUGGGACUCUUAUGCUCCAACCACGUUUUCACCCAGCUGAGUCGCCUUCGUAUCACGCCUUUCCAGUUUUGAUAGACUAGAAAAAUGACAAGACUCCAAGUCCUUGAAGAGGAGGAAAAGUGUGAAGAAAACAAAAAAGGGAGAUUUAUGUCUGCUUCACCAUUUUGCCCAAGACUUGACCUGUCAUACACUGAAGCUCAGAGAGGAAGAAAGGACCGUGUGAGAGAAGAAGGGAACAGCCUUUCAUCCAUAGGAGAAGUUCGUCUAUGACAAAGCCACUAGCUCCAUGUGGCCGCUGAGCACUCAAAAUGUGGCCAGUCUGAAUUGAGAUAUGUUGUUAGUAUAAAGUCCACAUCGGCUUUUUGAGCACUUUGUAUGAGAAAAAAGAAUACCAAAUAUCUCCUUAAUAAUUGUUACAUUGAUUAUAUGUUGAACUGAUAACAUUAUGGAUAUAUUGGAUUAAAUAAAAUAAAUUAUUAAAAUCAAAUAAAAAAUAAAAUCAAUUUCACCUGUUU